rnacentral:lncRNA from 1 species
AUACAAAAACUUUGAAGAGUGGCCUUGUACAGUGUUUUUUCUUUGCGUGGAAAAUGGGAAUUCUAUCAUGAUAAUAUGAUUACAAUCUGGUAGUGGCAGCAGGUCCUUCAUACACGGAGGGCCCCUAUGCAACCAUGCAGCUACUCUGUACGACUGUAAUUAGCCAAUUGAUCUGCUAUCCUAUUUUGACCUCUUCUAAACAAGAUGCUAAACCACACACAGAACGGCAUGCAAAGGCUUCGGAACAGUAGAAGAUGGCACAGACAACGCCUCCACCAUGCAUGUCUGAAUUUAGUCCUCCCAGGAUUGUAGCAUGCCUAUCUCCUUCAGACGCGUCGCUAUAUAGUUUCAGCGUUGCUCCCUUGGGCGCCAUGGUUUUUAUCUAGACCAGAAGAAACCUGCAUGGAAAAUAGGUUGAGUAUCUCUGAUCACAUAAAGAUAUUGUUACAAUCACAACUAGCAUCUUUUUCAGGAUUGACCGCAUCGCCAUGAAUCGCAUGGAUCCGUUCAAGCAGAUUUUUAUUUUCAUAAGCAAAAGUAGGCGGAACAAAAGCCAGCGAGUAGUUUUUCCGAUAAAUUUUGUAUCCAACCCACGCAAUCCCUGCAAAUUUCUGAAACGGCAAACUUAUACUAGUAGAUUGGCAUCGAAUUUUCUGCAAAGACGACAUCAAAACAGAGUUUCUGAAAUGUUCUCAAGAGAAAGAAGGAGUGCAUGCAUGGAUGGAGAACUCAGUCCACAUCACGAUUUCUGAUCAUCAAGGCAUAGUGAGCCAUGUUAGGUUCGGCGAGCGAGCCUUCGUUUGUUUCCAUCAUCGCCCUCCAAACCAAACCAAACCAAAAUUCAUGUAACAACAACACCGCCACCAACAGGAACUUAACACCAGCAAAUUGGCAACUCAAAAGGACGAUGCAUAUGUAGAGGGAUAUCGAUCAGUGCUCCUGCCCGCGGUCAGAUAAAACACAGAAGAGAAGCAUCGAAGGAAAAGAAGAAGAAGAAGAAGAAGAAGAAGAAGAAGAAGAAGAAGAAGAAGAAGAAGAAGAAACUUGGGCGAAAAAUGAUGGUGAAGAAGAAGAAGCGGUACUGGGGAGGCUAUUAGUUGGGUAGUGAGGCUUCGUGGAGAGAGUGUUGUUGCUCUGCUGCUCCUGCUCAGAGCUAGUCUGUGAUUAAGCUGCGAGUGCACGAGGAGAGGCGCAAAUGGAGGUUUUUAUAGGAGAGCCGGCGGCAAAGAGCCAACGAUCAGCGUUCUUGGCGCCCAAGGCGUCGCCGCACGCGGUAGGUAGGUGUUGUGCCGAACGAUGUGAUCGACCAUUUCUUUCUGCUGCUUUCAAGGAGAAACUAUAAAAAAACCUGCCGGAUAACCUUAAUUAAACGGCAUGAUUGCAAAAGCUGAACUUGUUAACUGCUCCAUGCGCUGCGCAUGCAUAGUGUUAAUUUGUCUAAUACGGCCGGUACGGUUUGAAGUUGAAAUGUGACUGAUUGUUUUUCACCGGCUUCCCUGCCUUCUGAAUCAUGUUGUCUAAACACGAGGGCAGUGUUCAAUUCCAAACUGGCCCGCGUGUUGUUUCGCCUUUUGAAUCAUGCCCAGCUUCACCAGCCUGGUUUGGUUUAAGGCUGGUCAUAAUGAGGAGUAACUUACACUGGUGGCAUGCAUAUGCCAGUGGUCUAAAUUAUUAUUUUCAGAGUGCAAAGUAAUAUAAUGUCGUAGAUGGUCUUAUUUAUUAGCUUUUUUUGUAGACUCGUCUUUUCUCGGAAAGCGCUAUGUUACAGUAACAUUAUGUUACUCUAAAUACAUCUCUUCCCAUUAAAUACGUGACACAUAAGCAAUUUUGUUCUGAAAUGCGUUGUGUUGCUAGCUAAGUUACUCCCACUAUGACCAGCCUAAUGAAGACUAGGUAUAGAUCCCCAGUAAUCGGUGGAAGUGCAGUCUUUUAUUUCCUUUUGUUCUUUUUUGGAAAUGAUUCAGAUCUAUUACAAAAGUUCAUUAGCAGCACAAAAGCAUAUCAAGCAUAAUAAAAAUUGCAUCGAAGUCUCUAAACCACCGGACGACCACUAUCGCUGCUAGAAUGAGUCGCCGACGCGCCGCUCUCAUCGCUCCCCUACGGGAGCCGGUUUAACCUUGUCGAUGACAACAGAACAGUCUUCAUGCACGUGCCCCUAGAAACCAACGCCUUAGAGCUGCAGUCAUCACUGAUUCACUGUUGAACCCUUGAAUAGAUUUGAAACAACUGACACUAAAUCUCACCGUCGCAUAUGCACGAGGAGGAAACCCUAACAACGCCGCCCAAAGAGAUGGAAGGAGGCCUACAAGCGGGAGAGCAGCGACAACAUAACCUGUGUUGUUGUGCGCUUCUUUCACGGGCAAGGGAGUAGCGGGCCUGCUUAAAGCAGGUGCAAAGAGUUAGGCCAAUUCCACCGCGCGACCCCAUCCCGUCCGGCCCCGUCCGUUUGGGGUAAAAGGGACAAACGCGACGGCCCAGCGCGCGACGGCCCGGACCCAUCUGGUCCGCUUUGUGUCCGGGCCGACCCAUUUCGAGCGCAAACAUGCGCCGGGUUUGAGUCGCGGCGGACAGCAAACGGACGCGUCGCUCGUCCGCGUCGGGGCCGCGUGGCAGGCGGCCACCUACCUCCCACCCGCCAACAUCAAUGCGCACGCGCGGCCGGCCCCGCCUGUCAUCCGCCCAGGCGAACGGUCGCGGUCCUUAUUAGAUGGGGAAGCUGUGGACCGGUCGUCGUCUACACUCCCCCACUCCACCCCGCGGCCUCCUCGAAACCCGACACACCCAGACCCCCAAACCUAGCCUCUAGCCUCGAACUCGCCGGCCGGCCGCCUCGCAGCCAUGGGCCUAUGGAACUAUGGCCGCAAGGGGAGGCACGACCGCGAGGCUGGCUCCUCGUCGGGACGCCGCCGCGGCUCCGUGAAGAAGGAGGAGCCCGCAUCGCCACCGCGCCAGGCCCCCGCACCUGCCCCCUUCACCAUCGGCCCUAGGGCCGCUGGCGAGCGCGACCGGCAGUACAUCAGCGCUGAUGUAUGACAGCGCUACUGGGAGACGAGGACGCCGGUCCCGUGGAGCGACGUGCACCUCCCCAACAAUUGGCACCUCUCCGCCGACUGGGUCCCGAUCCCGCCGGCCCCGAUGAGCGGCCGUGCGCGCCGCGAUGAGAUCGAGCGCCGCCGCCGCCGCCGCCUCCUCCCCGACGACCUCUACUACGACGAUAGGUACGCCCCCGACUCCGUGCUCUGGGACACUUGGCUCCAGGACGAGCACGACGUGCGGCGCGCCUCCUACUUCGCCGGCACGGCGUCGGGGCCGCAUCGGCCACGUCGGGAGGUGCGGGGGCGUACGCGGGUGCGCGGCCUCACGCCCACGCCGUCGCCUUCCCCGUCUCCGUCGCCACCUCCACCUCCUCGCAUGACAGCGGAGGAGGAGGCCCGGCUCAUGCAACGUGUCAUGGAGGACUCCAUGAACACGCAUGAUGAGCGCCAAUGGCCGGGCCUCGAGGAGAUGAUGGCCCUCUCUGCGGCCGGCGACGUUGCCAUCCCCGAGCUGGAGAUGGUGGCGGCGGAGGAGGUGAUGGAGGAGGCGCCGGUGGCCGCGUUCCACCCAAGCCUGGUGGGCCAGCACUGGAGCUGGUCGUGCACGGCUCCGGAGAUGGCCGAUGCCGUGGGGGGCGUGAACUGGUGCCCCACGCCGCCGCGGUCAUCGGAGCAGGACGCGUCGCCACGUGAGGAGGUGGUGCAGGCCCCUGCCGCCGUCCAGCCCGCCCCCGCGUACCACGGACCGCCGACACACCUGUGGACGCCGCCGUAUUACGUCGACCUCGUCAGCGACGACGACGACACCGGCGGCCACGACAUCGACGGGCACGACAGGAGCGCGCGGGCCGGCAUUUUUUUGUUUUUAUGUUAAUUAUGGAAAUGUGGACGUGAAACUGGACCGUUUUGUGGCCGUCGACCCUAACUUAUAUUUUACGGUUUUUUAUUUGCGUUUAUUUACUUUUUUAGGCAUUUUAUUUAAGUUUUUCUAUUUUUUUAAUCACGUCCAACACGAAUAUGAUUUGGGGUGCGGUCGCGCGUUAGGCGCACCCACAACCCAAUGGACAGAGGCGGACAUGGGCGAACCCAUUGACACCCCAAAGGGACAAAAUCCGGUCAAACCGGACGUCCGUUUGAGGUCGUGUGGUGGAGUUGGCCUUACUCCAACUUCUCAAGUGGCCGUUGUACUGUGAUGACAUACCCGGAUACAUGCCUUAAUUGAUUCUCCGAGGUUUAAACAUAGAGAAACUGGAAGUAGGAUACGUGUACUCUGAUGUGUGAGAACAAAACUUUAGGAACGAGUGUGCCCAAGGCCUUAGAUUUAACAAUAAAUUGCUGGUGAUGAUCGUUUGCCGUAGUUUCGAUGGUGUUGGGUCUGACGUCGACUGUGUUGUAUCUUGUUGUGGAUUGCCAAACCAUGUGUGAGUGUGAUGUAAUAUCCAUAACUCUACCAAGGUAAGUGAUUAUUGUUGUACUGAAAUUGAGCAGUGACAAGUAUAAUUGAGUUGUUGGAUGGAUCUUAAUUUUGAUGUUUCAUUGUGUGUGUGUGUGUGUGUGUGUGUGUUUUUGAAGAGUGGCCUUGUACACUUUUUUUUUUGCAGGGAAAGUGGAAAUUUUGUUCCAUAGUAGCUAGUACUCCGUAGAUUACAAUCUAGUGGCAACAGGUUGGAGGCCCCCUAUGCAACCAUGCAGCUGCUCUGUACGGCUGUAGUUAGCCAAUUGAUCUUCUAUCCUGUUUUGAUCUCUUCUAUAAACAACAUGCUAAACCACACACAGAAUGGCAUGUUCAGGCUUCAGACUAGUAGAAUUACCUCCCAGGAUUGUAGCAUGCCUAUCUCCUUCAGACGUGUCGCUAUAUAGUUUCAGCGUUGCUCCCUUGGGCGUCAUGGUUUUCUC